rnacentral:lncRNA from 10 species
UACUCGGGAGGCUGAGGCAGGAGAAUGACGUGAACCCAGGAGGCCAAGCUUGCAGUGAGCUGAGAUCACACCACUGCACUCCAGCCUGGGGGACAGAGUGAGAAUCCAUCAAAAAAAAGAAACAAGAAUACAAUAGCACAAUUCAUGUGACAACCACAUGUAGGUUUAGUGAUGUUUGUUCUCUGUGAAGCUAAGCUAUCUCAGCUAGGUGGUUGAGGACAUUUGUACUGUCUGGACUAGGCAGAGGUGAAUAUGAUUGAAUGUGUAAGACAGUGCCAAUUAUGUACCAUAUAUAGCUGUGUGUGUUUCCUUCUGUCUAAAAUAUCAACCUAUGCUUGCCUUUAAUCUCAUCCUCAAUUGCAAUGCUCAAAACCCCUCCUAGUGUCAUUAUAUUGUCAAAAAAUACUCUGAAUCACAGGUUUAGAGAGAUAAAAAUUCUAACUUCUCUUAAAGAAACAACGUCUGAAAAUCUUUUCAUUUGUGUUGUUCCACAUGAAAUGACUUUAAGUGUUGAAUGUGCACAUUAUUCCUACAUUCUGAGACUUAGAUUUAUAGCUUAUGAGUUGUCCUUCUAAAGGUAUACUCUUCAUAUGCCAGUGACUCCCCAGCUUAUACAGCAGUUAUGCCUUAUUGGUGAGGGAUGCGUUCAAAGACUCCUUGUGGAUGCCUGAAACCUGUUACCAAACCCCAUAUAUCUCUAGUGCACAUCUAAAUCUGUGUUUAGACGAACAGAACCAGCUUUGUACCCGAUUAUCUUCACCAAGAUGUCUGACUUACGUAAAUCUCAAACUUGUCGUAUUUAACACAAAGUUCUUAAUUUCCUUCCUUUUUCAAGCCCACUUCUGCUGUGUUUUCUGUUUAAGUAAAUAACACUCAUCCAUUUAGUUAUGUCAAAAACCUAGGAAUUAUCCAUGACUUCUCUCUUACUCUUUCUGCACUUUAAAUGCAUCAGCUAGUACUGUCUUCAAGAAUGUAUCCUUUUUACCCAGUCCUCGCCAUCUCCUUUACUAUCCCCCUUGCCCAAGCCACUAUACUUUCAUCCUGCUGUGGAAGCAGUUUUCCAACCCUCCUUACUCUCCUUUUGACCACUUAAUAUACAUUCUUCACUAGCCAGAACAAUCUUUGAAAAAUGUAACCUACCAUAUGUCACUCCCCAUUUGAAAUGUUCCUAUUGGGAUUUUAAGAUGAUAUUAAAUACUCAUUUUCUCAGCUCUCAAGUCUGGAUUCAAUUGAGAGGCAGACAGAUUUGGGCAAAUGAGAUAAAAUAUUUGUUUUGUAUUGAUAAAUGGUUGGAUUGGCAGAUAUUGCCUUGUAUUGAGUAUGGUCGUAAAGACAUCACUAAUAUUUAACUUAUCUACCUAUUUAUUUUCCCUCACUUUGAAGUGUGGUUAGAAUUUGGAGGAAGCAAUUUCAUGAAGGUAGAAAUAAGAUUGCCCUCAUAAAAUAUGUUAUGUCCUCAUAAAAUAAAUAUUUAUAUAUUAUAUAUAAAAUAUAUAAAUUUAUUAUCUGAUCCUUCCCAAGAGAGAUUCCGCACCUCUGGUUGCCCUUAGGCUUAAUCAUUAAGCCAGAACCAUAAAGAGAACAAAAAACAUUACCUGUGCCCAACGUUUUAUGGCCUUUGUCACUCCUCAAGUAGUCUCUCCAAAGGAGGAAUGUCUGACGUGGUAAGUAAGUUUGAGAGGAAACUGGAUUUUGUUGGAUCCACCCCUUCUGAAGUCUCUUGUUGUCUUCCUCCCUCAAGAGAUGUCUGCCCUAUUUUCCACUUGUUUGGAAACUAUCUCCCCUGUCUGGUGUCCUUGCAGCUGUGCAUCUGUCAGUCUGUGCUGGUCUCACAUCGAGGUCACGCUGAUGAAAAAGGAACUACAGUACUGUUAUGUCAGUAACAUACAUCACAGUCGUACGUCUCCAGGCUUCUUAUCUUCCUUUGAACCUGACCUGGCUACUGUUUGGUGGAUUAUAGAGGAAAAGCUGUAAUGGGAAAGUAGGUUGGGUGAAGGGAUGAGAAAAAGGAAAGCAUCGUGGAGCACAUUAGCAGGCUUUCUCCAUGAAGAAGCAGGGGCAAUGCAGCAUCUCUGCCUUCUUCUGGGUAUUCCUCUUAAAUGGCUUGACAAUAACCACCAACCAGCACUGCCAUACAUGUGUCCUGUACCUAUCAGAGGCACUAGGGCAGUUUUGGAACAGAGAGCCCAUAGAAAGGCUACUGCUUAGAGAUAGCCAUUUUCUUCUUGGAGCUGGACCAGUGAAUUAGACGCAUGGAGGAGAGCUGGAAAAUCCCUUUUUGGAAGAGCUACACAAAACCAAAAUUUGGAAUUCGUAGCUAAUAACCAUAAAAAUUAAGAAAUGACUGUUGGAAGAGCACUGGAAAUCACCUGAUUAAGUUAAGAAAAACUAACUAGCUCAUGAGAAAAUUAUUUUCAGGCCAGCUGUAGCCUGUACCCUUUUGAAAAUCCCCUGACUAGUGAGUUCAUUUUUGUUGGAAUAUAGAAUUUUUCUUUUCUAAGCAGAUGUAAACUUGUCUUUCUGUGGUUGGCUUUGGAGCCCACAAGAUAAUUAAAUGGCAGUGCUAACUGAAAGCCUGGGCUGUGCUUAUAGGUUCAAGAGGCAGGUAGAAGACACUGGGUUGGGGAAGUAGGGCUAUGGAACUGUGGCUCUGGCUAAGAUUACUAAUGUCUGUGAGCGCUGGAAGAAGGGAAAUAGAAAUGAAAAAACAUGAAUAUGGUUGAUGGGCCAGACUGAGUGUUGAGGUCCUAUGAUGUAUCAAAGAAUGGCUUACAUGAAAGUUAUAAGGUGUGGAUGGAAAAGGUCAGUGUGGAAGAGAACAGAAUUACUAGCUUUAAAGCUCAGAGACAUCUGCUUUUCAGGAAAAAAAAAUACAAAAGUCUAUGAGUGAAGGAAGGAGACUAAGAGAAAGAAAGGUGAGGAAAAGAGGAAGAGAAUAAAAAGGAACAGAAAUGAGAAAAAUAUGACACAAGAAAAAAAGAAAAAUUAGGAGGAAGGAAAGAAGAAAGGAAGGCAGAGAGGGAGGAAAGGAAGGAAGGAGACAGGGAGGAGAAACAGAAAAAGAGAGAAUGAAAGAAGUGGAAAUCAAGAAAGAAACAACAUAAGAUUCUACAGAGAGGACUCAUUAUAGGCAAAAUAAGUAAAAGAAAUUUCUUUUGGCAUUGUCCUAUCUCCCUUGCAUUCUCAUCUACUAAGCCUUUUCUUCCCUGUGGGCAAUAUUAUUGGCAUGAGUAAACUCUCACCUUAAUAUUCCUAAUAACCAUAAGUUUGUCCUCUACUCCCUAAAACUACUGCCGUGUGUGCCAUGCUCCAAAGUAAUCUCUUAUUCUCACUUCGUAACCUUUCAUCUCAGCUGUGUGUCAGUUAAGAAGAAUUUCAUCAAACUAAGCCUCUUGGAUUUUAAAAGAAUGCUCUUGCCCAGUUAUAUCUUUAGUUGGCAUCAUUUCAGGUAUGAAAAGGCUCUGCUCUAUGUGCCCUUAUCAAUCCUGAAAGAGCUAUCUCCCCAAGCAAAAUGAGAAGGACAAUCAUAACUGGCUCAAGGCUAGUCCAAUCUGGCUCUGUCCUUAGAUCCAAAAAGUUGAAGUUGUAAGUGACCCUAGAAAUGAUCUAUUUCACACUUAUUGUCCAGACAAUGAAACUCCAGUGGAGAGUGGAUAGGACCCUUCUAGGGUCGCAUGAUUGCUAGUGGCAAAGCCAGGUCUGAAUCAUAUCACUGCUUAUGGAGAACUUGUUGCCCUCACCAUUGUCCUCAAAUUUCUCCUGUUGACAGCAGGAUCCCUCAGAGAAAAGAUAGCUCCAGCCAAAGAACUCAGUGUAGCCCCAUGAACUCUCCAAAUAAUCAUAAACACAGCUAUAGUAGACAAGAAAGGCUAUCUUCUCAUGACCCUUUCUGUGGUUAAAAUCCUGAAAAACUGGGCACUACGGCUAUAUUCCAAACAUUCUUGCAAAUAGUAUUUCCAGACACAGACAAUGAUUCUCAGAGAUUCUCACCAUAGACGGUGAGGCAGGCCGUUCCUGAGAUCUUCCCAAAACCAAAGGUAUUGAAGAGACACAUGUAAC